rnacentral:rRNA from 1 species
AUGGGGUGCGGCUUCUCGACGGGGGCGGCGGGCGGCGGGGGCGGGCUGCGGCCGUUCGCGGGGGUGCGGGUGAUCCACACCAACGGCUACGUGGAGGACUUCCCCGCGGGCGAGGACGGGGCGCCAGUCACCGUCGCGCGCGCCACGGCCUCCUCGCCCUCCUCGUGCCGGUACGUGCUGUGCUCGUCGGCGCACCUGCUGCAGCCGGGCCGCGCGCUGUUCCGGCCGGACGACGCGCUGCAGCCGGGCACCGGCGGCGGCCCCGCGCCCAGCGCUGUCGACGCGCUCUUCUCCGGCGACUCCGCCCAGCGCCGCGGCAGAAGCCCCGAGGCCGAGGGGCAGACCGCCAAGCCGCCCCGCCCCGCCGCCAAGAGCUGCGCCGCCGCCGCCGCCUACGCGGGGCCGUGGCGGCCGCGGCUCGACCGGAUCGACGAGUCCAUGGGCCGCUCCUCCAUGCGGAGCGCCUCCACCCUCAGCAACCGCAGCAGCCAGGACUAG